CCUACGGGGGGCAGCAGUAGGGAAUAUUGCUCAAUGGGGGAAACCCUGAAGCAGCAACGCCGCGUGGAGGAUGAAGGUUUUCGGAUUGUAAACUCCUUUUGUUAGAGAAGAUAAUGACGGUAUCUAACGAAUAAGCACCGGCUAACUCCGUGCCAGCAGCCGCGGUAAUACGGAGGGUGCAAGCGUUACACGGAAUCACUGGGCGUAAGGAGCGCGUAGGCGGGAUAGCAAGUCAGAUGUGAAAUCCUAUGGCUUAACCAUAGAACUGCAGUUGAAACUGUUAGUCUAGAGUAUGGGAGAGGUAGGUGGAAUUCUUGGUGUAGGGGUAAAAUCCGUAGAGAUCAAGAGGAAUACUCAUUGCGAAGGCGACCUGCUAGAACAUAACUGACGCUGAUGCGCGAAAGCGUGGGGAGCAAACAGGAUUAGAUACCCGUGUAGUC
rnacentral:rRNA from 1 species